AUAUCAAUAAGCGGAGGAAAAGAAACCAACAGGGAUUGCCCUAGUAACGGCGAGUGAAGCGGCAUCAGCUCAAAUUUGAAAUCUGGCUCUUUCAGGGUCCGAGUUGUAAUUUGCAGAGGGCGCUUUGGCGUUGGCAGCGGUCCAAGUUCCUUGGAACAGGACGUCACAGAGGGUGAGAAUCCCGUACGUGGUCGCUGGCCUUCGCCGUGUAAAGCCCCUUCGACGAGUCGAGUUGUUUGGGAAUGCAGCUCUAAAUGGGAGGUAAAUUUCUUCUAAAGCUAAAUACUGGCCAGAGACCGAUAGCGCACAAGUAGAGUGAUCGAAAGAUGAAAAGCACUUUGGAAAGAGAGUCAAAUAGCACGUGAAAUUGUUGAAAGGGAAGCGCUUGCAGCCAGACUUGCCUGUAGUUGCUCAUCCGGGCUUUUGCCCGGUGCACUCUUCUGCGGGCAGGCCAGCAUCAGUCUGGGCGGUUGGAUAAAGGCCUCUGUCAUGUACCUCCUUUCGGGGAGGCCUUAUAGGGGAGGCGUAAUGCAACCAGCCUGGACUGAGGUCCGCGCAUCUGCUAGGAUGCUGGCGUAAUGGCUGUAAGCGGCCCGUCUUGAAACACGGACCAAGGAGUCUAACAUCUAUGCGAGUGUUUGGGUGUCAAGCCCGAGCGCGUAAUGAAAGUGAACGGAGGUGGGAUCCCUUUAGGGUGCACCAUCGACCGAUCCUGAUGUCUUCGGAUGGAUUUGAGUAAGAGCAUGGCUGUUGGGACCCGAAAGAUGGUGAACUAUGCUUGAAUAGGGUGAAGCCAGAGGAAACUCUGGUGGAGGCUCGCAGCGGUUCUGACGUGCAAAUCGAUCGUCAAAUUUGGGCAUAGGGGCGAAAGACUAAUCGAACUAUCU
rnacentral:sRNA from 1 species